CUGAAAUGUCACUUGGAUGUCAGAUAAAGCAGUCGACACCUGCUGUCAUCAGUUGUAGACUGGUGUCGUAGGAAAGGAGAGCAUUCCAACCAUUGGACCCUAAUUAGCUUCUAUCCAAUUAGUGCUCCACAGUUCAAACCUGCAGCUUUUCAAUUGCCUUUUGAAAGUUUUAUAUUAAAUCAUCUUCCACCAUCCUUUUAGGCAGCACAUUUCAUGACAUUCAGCAGCUUUUUAAAAAAAUUCUCCAUGUUUAUUUUGCUAGUUAAGUUAAAUCUCUCUCUCUCCGAUUAAUGACCUUCCUGCCAAUGGAAAAACACUCUGGAUUUACUCUGAGGUGAUGAUUUUGAACACCUUUUAAGUCUUGCCCUCACCAUCUAUACUUCUAGGAGAAUGUCACAUACACUCACUUUGCAACAAUGAAGAAGCUCAGUUAUGCCUUCCUUCUGGUAAAUAAAUUUCUCCUGAUUUCUUCUCUCUUCACUUCCCUCCCAAACCAAGUAAAGUCUAACAUGUUAGCUAUAGAUUAGUGUUUUUGAGAUUUGCAAAAAUAUGGAGCCUGGAGGCUAUCUGUGUACAUGCUUUUGAUUGAAUAGAUAGACAUGAAGUCCUGAAAACUGUAUCCUUCCAGUUUAUCACUUAAAAUGCAUUACAUAAACAUUUAAUGCAGUUUUUUUGCUUCUAAUCAAAAUAUUCCUUUCCAUUAGAUCAAUGUUGAAGCCUAAAAGCUGAGUUCUGGGAGGUGAUAUUGAUCUGAUGUCAGCCCUCCCAGACAGUUGUCUCCAUUACCCUGCUCCCUAUUGCCACACGUGCCAGUGUUUGUUUCCUGUUGUUCUCUCUGAACCAACAAAAGGAAUCUUUUGAAUCCAAUUCGCCUGUUUGUCUCUCCUUAAGCCAGCACUUGCUUUACAUUUAAAGUCAGAGUUGUGGAGGUCUACAGCAAAGAAAAGGGCCCUUCAGCUUAUCAAAUCCGGGCAGGUCAAAAGCAACCACCUAAUUAUUCUAAUCCAAUUUUCAAACACUUGGCCCAUGGAUUUGUAUGCCUUGGCAUAACAAGUGUACAUCUGAAUACAAUCUGAAGGAGAAAGUGAGGACUGCCAGAUGCUGAAGACUCUGGACUACAUUCAGGCCAACACAAUUUGGACCUGAACAGGACAACCAGUAUGUCUUACAAAUCCAAAGCCUCCAGAAAAGGUUCUCCUUUUGGAUCCUCUGCUCCAUACUCUCAGCCAUGCGCCAUACUCUCCCUGCCUCAGCUCCAGGGCCACACUCUUCCAGACCUGCAAAGGACCUCUACUGUUUUAUAUCUUCAGAAGAACUCACAUGCUCAAAAAAACUUUCUUUCACCAUAUUGGACAUAAAAGAGCCUAAGUUAUGCAAACUUUCAUGUACUUGCCUCAAUACAUGGGUUUCCUUAAUCGUUCCAGAACCUUCUCCUGGCCUCUGGAACUGCUCGGACACUAUGAGCCACAAGGCCGCUCCAGCCACAACCGUCGCGGCGAAUUAUGACGUCACUUACACCCUGCCACCUCAUGGACUGCCAACCAUGUCACCUCCGGGAUCGCCGUCCAGGCACCCGCCUCCGGGAUCGCCGUCCAGGCACCCGCCUCUAGGCUCGCAGUCCAGGC